ACUAUAUUAAAGAUGAACAAACAUCUUUUUUCACAGAAUUUUGGAGUAUGAUUAGGAUUUAUUGUGCUGCUAACACGUAUGCUAUUUAGAUAAUUUGAUUUCUCUAGAGGGCAUACCGUGUACACUUCUGGUGUCUUGUGAGAAUUUUUAGGUGAGCUUGCGGCUCCUGCAUUGUUACCACGUGCACAUUCUGGUUCCUUCUUCUCUCUUUAGCUUUAGUGUUGUGUUAUGUUGCGAUGUGGCUUUUGCUAUUUAGGUAGCUGCUCAAGUUUUGUCUGGCACUGCUUAACUCUUUACCUGCUAGAUCUGUUCUUGCCGCACCGCUUUGAUCCCCUCUAGAAAAUUCGCGUCAGUGCCCACGCGACACGUCCUCCCUUCAUCUCAGGCUUUCAGCCACUUCAUCCCCAGCACAAGCCCUUCCGUUUCCGGCGGUCUUGCGACCUCCAACGCGGUGGUUGUCACCGAGGCGCUCCCGCCGUCCCCCGCCGACGUUGUAGCUCCCCUCCUGGAUGGCUGCUCUCGAAUCGACCGUCCGGUUCGCCGGGUGGGUGCACGACGACCAGAAGCGCUGGCGGCUGCUCCGGAUCGGGGAGCACUGCAUUACCUCGGGCCGCCCUGCUGCCAUCGACGACGCCGUGGGAGAGGUGGGGUGCAGAGGAUAGUUCCAGCGUAGCGGGGCAGAGGCGCACGAACGGAGGGGAUCCGGGUGGCGGCGGCUCUUGGCCUUGCCGCUUCGUGAGCAGUGGGGGCAGCUGCGGCGGCCGGCGCUUCUCGGUCGCGAGUUCAACAAGGGGGCACCGCAAUUUUAUCCAGGCGAGAGAAGGGGUGGCGUGCGGCCAGGCCACCCACGCACGACAUGGCUCGACGGCCGCCGCGACCACCUCGCUGUUCCAAGAUGCGGCAGCGCUCGACAAUCACCUCCGUAAGCGCCACUUCGUGGUGCUGCACGCCAAGCCGCUCGCUGUCACUCGCCGGACGCUUCGCCGGCGACAGGAGUACGUAGUGGUAAGAGCGGUUUCACGCCGGCGAACACAAGAGGGCCGCGGUGACCCUGGAGGGCAGGUGCGAGGAAGCGUCCACCGCGGUUUCUACGCCGGGUAGGAGACGCCCUGCUUCCUGGAUGAGCUCACUGAUACGUUUACCUCAUGCACCCGUCGACUAAUGGCUGAACCAUGGCUGCCAAUAAUCCAAUAUCAUGUCGGAAGUAAACACUGAAGUGGAGGACAAGGAGGGGAAUCUGAAGCUCAAGAUAACUGACUGCAGACUGGAGGUUGAUACUGAUAAAUUUAUCAGCUACCUGUGCCUUGAAACCUCUUGGAUUUCCUAUGGUCUGCGACAUUUUUCCAUUAACAACAGAGGUUGACAACAAAACACUUAGACAUGUUUGUUCCACGGGUAUUUUUUUUCUUCUCUUUAAUCAAAUGAUGAUGAAUUGAACUUAAAGUUACUUCAACACUCUCCCUCUUUAAUCAAAUGAGAAUACUCUAAAUUUGAGCUCUCCGUGAAGAAACAAUUUUAUUUGUCUUAUUACCUCUAGAAAUUUCUCUUAUCAAUGCCUCCGUUGUCCAAGCCACAAAGCUUCAGUUUCUAGGGAGAGGUUCUCUGUCAUACUCUGAUAUGCAUAGGACAUACAAGUGCGCUCAUAAUCUGAGUAUAGUAAAAUGGAUGAGUCUGAACAAAUUCACCCAGUAUACUAUCUCACUUUCUUUUCAAAAUUCAAACCCUUCACUUGUAUGUUACAUUGACUACAUUAUUAGCAUAACCAAAUUUAGAUUUAUUUGUACCGAAAUUGCUGAACAUGAAGCAGAAGUGAGGAACCGGAGAUGUAUGUAGUGUUUGCGUGCAUAGGUAUGGUCACACAUGUUCGGAGAUUUAAGUUGCAAGUUAGCUACACACCCAAUGGAGCCAUGUUGCAUAACCACUUUUAGAUUUAUUUGUACCGAAAUGUCUGAACAUAAAGCAGAAGUAUAUCUUCUUUGAUGAAUGAGGAACCGGAGAUGUAUAUAUUGUUUGCAUGCAUAGGUAUACAUGUACGGAGAUUUAAGUUGCAAGUUAACUACACACCCAAUGGAGCCAUGUUCAAGUAUGAAUUGCAUUAGCUUAACUUCCCACUGGUAAUCCACUCCUCAGAUGAACCAGAUAUCAUCUUGUGCAAAUACAUGAAGGGUAAUCUUGAGCAUUGUUUUAAGGGAUUCUCGAAAGUUUAUAUGCAAUUUACAGUCUUUAGGACUUCUCGAAAGUUUAUAUGCAAUUCCAUUCAGCAGUUUGUCACAUUAUGUACAGGUUUGUUAUUGUUCUGCAGGACAUGGCCUUUAUCUUUGGUCUGGGCAACACACAAUACUUUCGAACUGAUUAACACCUAUGUGUAGUAUAUAGCAUAAGUAUUCAGCGAACAAUUAUGCUUGGCGUUAGAUUUGCUUUGAAAUCAAGAGACAUGACCUGAAUCAUUCACACAUACUUCUGAUUUCUUUGCUUGGCCAUGUAUAUUUUUUCUCAUUCUUAAUUAUCUUUUCAACUGCACUUCAUUAUUUUCUACAUUCAAAAUUUCUGGCCAACUAUUUUAACAGUUAACUACAUUAGAAUUGUUUUUAGUGAUUGCCUUAUGUUUCAAUGUUGACACCUUACAACAAAUUUUUUCCGCUGAUGCAUCUCAUACUUAGUUAGAAAUACAUGUAAGGAAGCGUGAACUUUUGCAGGUUUCUUAUGGUAUAUAGUGCAGGCGGAUAUUUGAAUGGACUUACAGGUUAGUGACCGCGACAAAGGUUCCAAGGUUACCAUUGAGAGGCUACGAGACCUCUAGAAUCUUCUCGCCAUCGGAGUCCUGACCUGAAUCUAAGAAGCCCACGUCCUCAUUGGGAUAUCUCUAGAUUCCAUGUCAGAGAAGAACUUGGGUCUUCUGCAUACAUAUAUUAUUUUAUUUUACUUCUAGAGACCUCUAGAAUCUUCUCGCCAUCGGAGUCCUGACCUGAAUCCAAGAAGCCCACCUGCUCACUGGGAUAUCUCUGCAUUGCCUGUCAGUGGAGAACUUGGGUCUUCUGCAUACAGAUAGCCACUACCGUUUAUCUCACAGAGGAAAGGAUAAUGCAAAGCCAAGUAAGCGCUUCAUGAUAGGUGCACUGAUGCCUCAAGUUAUGCAUGUAUGAGACAAGGUUGUCAUCUUUUUUGUUUGAGGCAUGAAAUAUGGAAGGAACAUUCAAAAUUGAUUCUAACAAAGGUGAUGCAUCCUGGUGCUUAGGGAAGGCCAAGCCUCUUGAGUUUUUCCAUCCAUGUAUCAGCUUGGCUAACAAAAUUUAUGAUAAGGCAACUGUUUAUUUCCUGGAAUUCGUCUUAAUGUGAUCUAUGUAUUCUGCUUGAGUGUUGGUCAGUAUAUUAGCUAUUUGGAAACAUAAUGGUAGUGAACAUAAUGGUAGUGAUCAGGUCAGUGUAUGCUAUAUCAGAUUUUGUUACCAACCAUCUUAGAGCCUAUUGGUUA